CCCUGCUGGAGGUCAAGACCACUGUUGUAGUUUUACUGCAGAAAUUCAGAUUGCACAGGACAGAUAAUUUACAAGUUCCGAUGCCUGUGUCCGAUGUUAACCUAGGUAAACCAGCCAAACCGGUAUUUGUGCGAUUGGAAAAGAGAUCAAAGAAUUAAAUACAGCUCCAUUUUACAUAUAUGUUGCAGCAAUUACAUAAGCCUGAAGUAACACAGUUCAGUAACUCAAACAUGUAAAUACAUUGUCGUCGGCGUUUUGAAUAUCAUAUCCUAUCAUGAUCAAAUGACCACUCUCGUUGUACAAAUACAGGUAGUGUUAACCAUAGAACUUUCCAAAGACAUCCAAAAGUAAAGGGAUUCAUUUAAAUGAUUAAAAUUUACUUAUCGAAUCUGAUGGAAGCACUUUUUUGAAUGAAUUUUGUGUCGUUUUGAAUUUUUGUAUGAGCAUAAUUAUGAGAAAAUGCAUUUAUUUCUUAUAAACGGUGUUUAAAAGUUUCUUUUAAAAAAGAUAGGGGUUGCGUUUUCAAAGUACCUUAUCUGUCCUCUAUCAUUAGGUCAAGUUUCUUAAGUUUUCCUUUAAUUGUUGCAAAGUGUAAAAGGGAGAUUAUCUAAAUGUACUUUAAGCCAGAGCUAUUGCUGAUGCACUUUCCUUGCUGUCACGAAAUAAUUAUAUUGUUCUUAAAAAGUAAAUUAAAACGUAUUAGGAAAUAUUUACGCUUCUUAAGGUUUUAUAUCCUUUAUUGAAAACUUCCAUUCUGGUGGCGAUGGUAUAUAACCGUAUCUAGGCUGUUUGUAGAUGCAUUGCUUCCUUAGCCCAUUGGUUAGAGCUCUGGACUUGAGAGUAAUAACAUCUGUCAUGUGUUUAAGAAUCGGAUAGAAAUAUCCGUCCCGAGGGCACCUGCGCAUUGGGCGGUAAUGAGGCUUGCCGAAUUACUGUCCAUGCGCAGGUGGCCGAGGGACGGAUAUUUCCAUCCGAUUCGUAAACACAUGACAGAUAUUUUUUCUUGCAUAUCGUAUACAUGUUAGCAUUUCAUUCUAGCAGAUUAUUUUUCUUGCAAACCGUAUUUUACAAAAGAUAGAAAUACUUUCUUUUUAGUACUUUUUCUUAUAGUAGAGAAUGAACACAAAGCGCGGGAAAUUAACGUCCGUAAGCAGAAGUGACGUCAUGAUGUUCUGCGUUACGCACAAUAACCAAGUUCCACAUUAGUUUUAUCGUUUGUAGCGUAACGUUAUGUUUUUACUAUAAACUAACGUAUUUUGAAUCGAGAAAUAUACUAUAAGGAACGGAGAGAAACUAUCAAGGUACCUGUUUUUUUCCGUAUUUUACAUAAACAAAAUAUUAUCAGUGCAUGAACCACUAGUUCUCAUUAACAGCACGAGAGUUAUCUGGCAUGGGGCGUGCCAGAUGGGUUUUGCCGGCAUGGGUAAAAUCACCGGAAACGCCAGUCCGGUGUGCAAGAAAACAUUGUUCGUUCUAACGGCACCUUGAUCACUGUUUUAUCUUUGAUUGAAUUUCGCAAAUUAAUAAGGAUGAAUAUGUUUAACACUGACCAAUGAUCAAAAACCCUGGUAAUGAUCGAUUUGAAAUUUUAUAUAAAAUGUAGAUGCUGAACAUUUAAUUUUUUACUUAAAAUGUUUAAGUAAAUGAUCAUCUAACGGGUUAUACUGCAUAAAGAUGUACAUAAGAAAUACAAGCUAUUUUUUCGCCCCAUCUUCCUUAAUGAGACAUACAUAGUGUUUGGACUGUCCUUCAGUUGGUCCGACACACUUUUUGUAUAUUCAGAUCAUCCUACAGUUUAUAUCAAUUUCAAUGAAAACCUGCUGAACAUAGUCAACAUGAAGCGGACAUACGCAUAAUUUCAGGACUUUAUGUCCAAUCAUUAUUUCUUGAGUUAUGGUCCGAUUUUGAACUGAUCCAUAUAACAACUGUAGCCUAAUCGGGACUUUUACAGCCGAUUAUUAUAUUCUUUAGUUAUGCCCCUUUUUUGGACUUACUUAAACUAUAUCGUAUCUUUUGUAUCAUUUCCUACAGUGUCUGUUGAAUCCAAAUGAAAUAUGGUAUAUACACUGUCAACAUUAAGUGGGCAUGUGGAUGUUGUCGGGACUUCCAUAUCUGUUUGUUUUAGUUAUGAUAUAACCGUAUUUCAUCCACACCAGUCAUAUACAUUGUGCACUCAACUCCUCCUACUUGUGCACUCAAUUCCUCCUACUUGUGCACUCAACUCCUCCUACUUGUGCACUCAACUCCUCCUACUUGUGCACUCAAUUCCUCCUACUUGUGCACUCAACUCCUCCUACUUUUGCACUCAAUUCCUCCUACUUGUGCACUCAACUCCUCCUACUUGUGCACUCAACUCCUACAUAUUCCAACAAAUUCAAAUGGAACUUUGAGUCAAGUAUUUUCAGGGGACAUGUGUCAUACCAUGCAGACACCAUUCUUGUUUAAAUAUUUUUUAUAAUUUGUAGUUCGUUAGAUAUUAUUUUCAGUUUGUCGAAUGCACCUGUUCCUGUAAAUAUGAUUUGUAUUAGGUACUUUUAUACAAUUUGCUUUAAUGGUAUUCUUGUAACAUUUGCAACAUUUGAAACAUUUCGGUAAAAUAAACAGUUAAAUAAAAAAAAGAUUGUACGUUUUUAUAACAUCUAAAAGAUAGUUUUUUAUCAUUUCUGUUAGAUAACAUUUUAUAGUAAAUAUCAACAUUGAUAUUGUACAUGUAUAAUUAAUAUUAAAAAGAAAACAAUCAUUUGAUAUGGAUUGUGUAUUAGAUCUAUUUCGAUCUGCUGAUGUUCUUUGUAAGGGUGUACCGAUGAUGAAUGGGCUACAUCUAGAAUUUUAAUAGUUUCAAUAAAAGUUACUCAUAUUUUCAGAAUACAUUUUUCUAACGGUUUUCCGUGACGUCUCGAUUAAUGUCGCUGACACGAUGUAUAUUUGAAACCUUGCUUUGCAGGCAUAAUUCUUAUCUGUUAGGAAGCCUUACAGCUGCCAUACGGAAAGGUCGGUGGUUCUGCCAAGGUGCCUUUCCAUGACUGAAACGGUGCACGGACGGGUUCCAGAGGUGUUUCUUAACCAUCAGCAGGUGGGAAAAUCGCCAUAUGAUCAAAAUUGUGCCACUGUGACCUUAAACAAGAAACAGUAUAUAUUUAUGUCUAUACAUACGGUUGGCAAAAUAUAGUAAAUUAAUAUAUUUUGUCUUAGAUUUUGUCGAAAUCACAUGUGACACCUUAUUUAAGUAUGUAAAUAAAAGCUUCUAACUUACCA